UACGAAGGGGGCUAGCGUUGUUCGUAAUUACUGGGCGUAAAGCGCGCGCAGGCGGUCUUUCAAGUCAGUGGUGAAAGCCUGGAGCUCAACUCCAGAACUGCCAUUGAAACUGCAAGACUUGAGUACGAGAGAGGUGAGUGGAAUUCCCAGUGUAGAGGUGAAAUUCGUAGAUAUUGGGAAGAACACCAGUGGCGAAGGCGGCUCACUGGCUCGUAACUGACGCUUAGGUACGAAAGUGUGGUGAGCAAACAGG
rnacentral:rRNA from 1 species